AGAGUUUGAUCCUGGCUCAGAACGAACGCUGGCGGCGUGCUUAACACAUGCAAGUCGCGUGCGCAGUCUGUAGCAAUACAGAUGGGCGCACGGCGCACGGGUGCGUAACACGUGGGCAAUCUGCCCUCCGAUGGGGAAUAACCCCGCGAAAGCGGGGCUAAUACCGCAUAACAUUCCUUGGACUACGGUUUGAGGAUUCAAAGCAGUGAUGCGUCGGAGGAGGAGCCCGCGCCCGAUUAGCUAGUUGGUGAGGUAACGGCUCACCAAGGCAAUGAUCGGUAGCUGGUCUGAGAGGAUGAUCAGCCACACUGGAACUGAGACACGGUCCAGACUCCUACGGGAGGCAGCAGUGGGGAAUCUUGCGCAAUGGGCGAAAGCCUGACGCAGCGACGCCGCGUGGGGGAUGAAGCUUUUCGGAGUGUAAACCCCUUUCGACUGGGACGAAUGCCCGCAAGGGAGUGACGGUACCAGUAGAAGAAGCCCCGGCUAACUACGUGCCAGCAGCCGCGGUAAGACGUAGGGGGCCAGCGUUGUUCGGAAUUACUGGGUGUAAAGGGUUCGUAGGCGGUGUGGCAAGUUGGGAGUGAAAUCUCUGGGCUUAACUCAGAGGCUGCUUCCAAAACUGCUGUGCUUGAGUAUGGGAGAGGCGCGUGGAAUUGCAGGUGUAGCGGUGAAAUGCGUAGAUAUCUGCAGGAACACCCGUGGCGAAAGCGGCGCGCUGGACCAUAACUGACGCUGAGGAACGAAAGCUAGGGGAGCAAACAGGAUUAGAUACCCUGGUAGUCCUAGCCCUAAACGAUCAGGACUUGGGGUGUCGCCCGUUCGGGCGUCGUCCCGGAGCUAACGCGUUAAGUCCUGCACCUGGGGAGUACGGUCGCAAGACUGAACUCAAGGAAUUGACGGGGCCCGCACAAGCGGUGGAACAUGUGGUUCAUUUCGACGCUACGCGAGGAACCUUACCUGGGCUCGAAAUGCUUCGGACCAGCUGUAGAAAAUACGGCCUUCCCGCAAGG
rnacentral:rRNA from 1 species